GACGAACGCUGGCGGCGUGCUUAACACAUGCAAGUCGAACGGAAAGGCCCUGCUUUUGUGGGGUGCUCGAGUGGCGAACGGGUGAGUAACACGUGAGUAACCUGCCCUUGACUUUGGGAUAACUUCAGGAAACUGGGGCUAAUACCGGAUAGGAGCUCCUGCUGCAUGGGGGGGGUUGGAAAGUUUCGGCGGUUGGGGCUGGACUCGCGGCUUAUCAGCUUGUUGGGGGGGUAGUGGCUUACCAAGGCUUUGACGGGUAGCCGGCCUGGGAGGGUGACCGGCCACCUUGGGACUGCGAUACGGCCCAGACUCCUACGGGAGGCAGCAGUGGGGAAUAUUGCACAAUGGGCGGAAGCCUGAUGCAGCAACGCCGCGUGCGGGAUGACGGCCUUCGGGUUGUAAACCGCUUUCGCCUGUGACGAAGCGUGAGUGACGGUAAUGGGUAAAGAAGCACCGGCUAACUACGUG
rnacentral:rRNA from 1 species